rnacentral:rRNA from 1 species
UACGUAGGGGGCAAGCGUUGUCCGGAAUCACUGGGCGUAAAGCGCGCGCAGGCGGCGAUCUACGUCCGGGGUGAAAGCCCAGAGCUCAACUCUGGGACUGCCUUGGAUACGGGAUCGCUUGAGGAUCGGAGAGGCAAGGGGAAUUCCACGUGUAGCGGUGAAAUGCGUAGAGAUGUGGAGGAACACCUGUGGCGAAGGCGCCUUGCUGGCCGAUUUCUGACGCUGAGGCACGAAAGCGUGGGGAGCAAACAGG